UGAGGGAAUAUUUGGGGGCAAUGGGCGCAAGCCUGACCCAGCAACGCCGCGUGAAGGAAGACGGUUUUCGGAUUGUAAACUUCUUUUAAGAGGGACGAUAAUGACGGUACCUCUUGAAUAAGCCACGGCUAACUACGUGCCAGCAGCCGCGGUAAUACGUAGGUGGCAAGCGUUGUCCGGAUUUACUGGGUGUAAAGGGCGAGUAGGCGGGAUAUCAAGUCAGGUGCGAAAUCCAUGGGCUCAACCCAUGAACUGCACUUGAAACUGAUAUUCUUGAGUGAUGGAGAGGCAGGCGGAAUUCCCGGUGUAGCGGUG
rnacentral:rRNA from 1 species